AACAGUUACAUCCUGCAUAUCUAACAUCUCUUCUUCUCCAAAGUAUGCUGGAUUUUCUGGAAGGCUUCUCUUCUUCAGGUUUUCCGUGCAUAGGUAUACGUAGGGUACGUCGUCUGUUUCUUGAGUCACGCCCUCCUCACUGUAUAUAGGUGUUGCACUCAUCUCAAACACCUUCCACGAUCCAGCCAGCUCUGAUGGUUGGAGUCUUCGUCUUUGAGAGAAAAGCUUCAUCCUCCUCACUGUAUAUAGGUGUUGCGCUCAUCUCAAACACCUUCCACGAUCCAGCCAGCUCUGAUGGUUGGAGUCUUCGUCUUUGAGAGAAAAGCUUCACGUCCAGCUCCGUGUCGCUAUAAUAUUUAUAGCCAAGACAUUAGAAAAAUAAUUAGAAAUUUAAAACUACCUUCAUUUUAUUUUAUGUAAAGAUGUUUGACUCAGCACGGAGUUUAAGAAAGAUAAGACUUUUGUUACAUAUGGUCUUAAACAUUCUAUAACAUUUCUGCGGCUAUAUAAUCAUGCAUUAAGGCCAAAAUGGAAAGUUUAAAGUUAAAUCAUUUCUAAAUAUAAAAAGGUAUCAUUCUUUAUGGAACAGAAUAAACAAGAAAAAGUGUCACAUAAACCGGUAUAGAAGGAAUAGCAUUCAACAGGCAGAACAUUGUGUCAAAUCAGGCUUUAUCUCCACAGUCAUUAAAUAAACUGCUCUUUUAUAAAUUGUCAAGAGAGCAAUAAGAAAAUAAAGGGGAGGGGUGGGGUAGCACUCCUUUCAAAAACUUCGUUCAUGGCAAGAGAAUUUAUAUUAGAGAGAGAGAGAACACUUGCUCUGCAUGGGGGAAAAUAUGACACUAAAGUGGUAGUACUCCCAAGAAAACCAUCUCUUGGUGAUAACCGCUGGUGGUCAAUACUAAAGCUUCCUAAGAUGUAUUAACCAAUAUAUGUGUGCACAUCUCCAAUCUGAAGUUACACAGACACAAAUGUCUUCACUUCACAGUUGAAAGGAAACACAGGAAGGAAGCUAUAUGAAGAAUAAGGUUAC
rnacentral:lncRNA from 1 species